rnacentral:misc_RNA from 1 species
UUGUUUGGAUUUGGAUGCAGUUUAGUAAUUUGUUAAUGUGUGAUGCCGUUUGUUUGGCUCUAGUGUGUAUAUACUGCUGUUUGUGCCGACUAACCGUUUGAAAAAUUUAUUAGGAGGUGAGGAUACUAUUGAAAUUUGUCUUUUUAUUAAUAUUUACUCUUAUAUAUGUGGUCUGAAUUUGUUGCAAGAAAAACCAGAGGAAAAUGACAGGUGAUAGGGUGAAAAAGUUUUUGCUCUUUUGCUUUGCUUUUUAAGGAGUUAUUUAUUUGAAAUUAAUUUAUUUAUUUGUGGACCAUGGGUGGAUUUGCUGGGGUGGUACGGGUGGUUUUCUGAGAUUGUAGUAACUUGAAUGAAGAUGUUCUUUAAUUGGUUUUACUGUUUUAGCCAAAAAAGAUUGGGUAUUUUAAUUUUAUUUUUUUUAAUUGGUUUUCAGCUCAAUUUUUUAAGAUAGAGAAUAAUUUUAGAUGGGUUUUGAAUAUAAUGGUAAAUGAUGCUAUGUGGCAGUGGAUUUAGAUGAAGGAAUUGAAAUAGCUGAGAGCUCUGCUGGACAAGAGUUG